UUGUUUUGUUUCCUUGCUUUUCACAUGUUACCAGCUACAUAAUUUCUUGACAGAAAAAAAUAUAAAUAUAAAGUCUAUGUACUCCAGGCAUACUGCAAAACUAAAACAAGGUUUGGGUAUGGUUUGUAUUUUCAGUUUAAGGCUGCAAGCAGAAUUUACAACAGAGGGUACAAGUUCUAUCUGAAAAAAAAAGGAGGGACUAUGGCAUCAAACAGCCUCUUCAGCACAGUGACACCAUGUCAGCAAAACUUCUUUUGGGGUGAGGAAACUGAAGUCCAGAGGGGUUUCUUGAACUGCCCAAGGACACAUCACUAUUUAGUGAUACAGCCGGGACUAAAACUGAGGUCCCCUGACACCUGGUCCAGAAUUCUUUCUACUAUCCCACAAGGAACAUACAAAUAAAAGUUGAUCAUAAUUAAC